rnacentral:rRNA from 1 species
AUUGAACGCUGGCGGCAUGCUUUACACAUGCAAGUCGAACGGUAACAGGGUGCUUGCACCGCUGACGAGUGGCGAACGGGUGAGUAAUGCGUCGGAACGUGCCGAGUAGUGGGGGAUAACGCAGCGAAAGUUGUGCUAAUACCGCAUACGUACUGAGGUAGAAAGUGGGGGACCUUCGGGCCUACCGCUAUUCGAGCGGCCGACGUCGGAUUAUCCAGUAGGUGAGGUAAAGGCUCACCUAGGCGACGAUCAGUAGCGGGUCUGAGAGGAUGAUCCGCCACACUGGGACUGAGACACGGCCCAGACUCCUACGGGAGGCAGCAGUGGGGAAUUUUGGACAAUGGGCGAAAGCCUGAUCCAGCCAUGCCGCGUGUCUGAAGAAGGCCUUCGGGUUGUAAAGGACUUUUGUCAGGGAGGAAAUCCCUAGUGCUAAUAACACUGGGGGAUGACAGUACCUGAAGAAUAAGCACCGGCUAACUACGUGCCAGCAGCCGCCGUAA